ACAUGCUAAUUUGAUAAAAUGGUUUGAGAAAAAUAAUUUAAACUAAAAUGAUUCUUAUGUAUCUUUUAAUGAGAAAAUUCCAACAAUAUAUUUUCAUAAGUGAUGGCUAGAAAUACAUAUACAAGGCAUUGAAAAAAUUAAGAUAGACAAACAAUUCUCCAUUAAAUUUUAAAGUGUCUAAAAGUAUGCUGCGAAAAAUCUGUCUGCCAUUCCCAUAUAUCACAUACUUGUAGGCAUCUAAAUAAUUAAUACACAAUAAAUUUAAUUUUCAAUUUCGAUGAAAGCCUGUGAAAGUUAGGAACCACAGAAGAGGCUUUCAGAGAGAUGAAAACACUGGCUGGCUGAGGCCUCUUAGGUCCCUAAAUAUUUUAUGCCGCAGACACCGAGGGACAACAAAAGCUUCACGUCAAUUCAGGCUAAGGACACAGUGAUAUCAUAUUGUCGGCUAGCACAGGAUUAUCAUACUCAGGACCUAAUUGGCUAUAAUAUGGCUAAGAUAUUUACAGGCUGGAGACCUUACAUACUUAUGCAAGAGUAGAUUUGGACAGAUUUGGAUACAGAUAUGACAUCGCGUGAUAUGACAUCUAAUGAGUCGAGAAGUUGGCAUUUCUGCGGCCCCAUUUCAUUGGGGAGGUGGAGAAGAUAGAUGGAUGGUAUGCACUUAAGAAGCAGCUAUAAACUCAUGAUCAAAGCACUAAAUAUAUUAAAGCCAGAGGUGAUGGAGUGAAGCCUAAAGAGCUCCCACAGUGACGCAACGCUUCCUGCUAGCAAACUCCAAACAAAAAAUCGGCUUGUAACCGAUAUGGUCUUAACGAAGGUGCAAAAUAAACAAGAA